rnacentral:rRNA from 1 species
GCUUACACAUGCAGUCAACUUGAAUUUGGGUUUUUAACUUAGAUUUGGGUGGCGGACGGGUGAGUAACGCGUAAAGAACUUGCCUCACAGCUAGGGACAACAUUUAGAAAUGAAUGCUAAUACCUGAUAUUAUGAUUUUAAGGCAUCUUAGAAUUAUGAAAGCUAUAAGCACUGUGAGAGAGCUUUGCGUCCCAUUAGCUAGUUGGAGAGGUAACAGCUCACCAAGGCGAUGAUGGGUAGCCGGCCUGAGAGGGUGAACGGCCACAAGGGGACUGAGACACGGCCCUUACUCCUACGGGAGGCAGCAGUGGGGAAUAUUGGACAAUGGACCGAGAGUCUGAUCCAGCAAUUCUGUGUGCACGAUGAAGUUUUUCGGAAUGUAAAGUGCUUUCAGUUGGGAAGAAAUAAAUGACGGUACCAACAGAAGAAGUGACGGCUAAAUACGUGCCAGCAGCCGCGGUAAUACGUAUGUCACGAGCGUUAUCCGGAUUUAUUGGGCGUAAAGCGCGUCUAGGUGGUUAUGUAAGUCUGAUGUGAAAAUGCAGGGCUCAACUCUGUAUUGCGUUGGAAACUGUGUAACUAGAGUACUGGAGAGGUAAGCGGAACUACAAGUGUAGAGGUGAAAUUCGUAGAUAUUUGUAGGAAUGCCGAUGGGGAAGCCAGCUUACUGGACAGAUACUGACGCUAAAGCGCGAAAGCGUGGGUAGCAAACAGGAUUAGAUACUCUGGUAGUCCACGCUGUAAACGAUGAUUACUAGGUGUUGGGGGUCGAACCUCAGCGCCCAAGCAAACGCGAUAAGUAAUCCGCCUGGGGAGUACGUACGCAAGUAUGAAACUCAAAGGAAUUGACGGGGACCCGCACAAGCGGUGGAGCAUGUGGUUUAAUUCGACGCAACGCGAGGAACCUUACCAC